CACGGGGGGAGCAAGCGUUGUUCGGAAUCACUGGGCGUAAAGGGCGUGUAGGCGGUCAAGUAAGUGGAAUGUGAAAGCCCCCGGCUUACCCGGGGAUCUGCAUCCCAAACUGCUUGGCUUGAGUACGGGAGAGGAUAGGGGAAUUCCUGGUGUAGCGGUGAAAUGCGUAGAUAUCAGGAGGAACACCGGUGGCGAAGGCACCUAUCUGGCCCGAUACUGACGCUGAGGCGCGAAAGCUAGGGGAGCAAACGGG
rnacentral:rRNA from 1 species